GGAGGUCCAGACAGAUAGCAGCAGUCAAGGCCCAGGGUGCCAGGUGAGCAGUGGACAGAAGCAGUUGUUCUUGCUCAGGUCUCAAUUUUUGGUGCAACUGUAAGCAUCCAUUCUUGUUUUUCUGCUUUAGGGAAUCCACUUGGAGUAUGCCUAGCAGCUGUCACCAACCGGCUGAUGGCCCGGGUUUCCUGUGCUUGUGAACCCUCUGGAAGCAUUACAGGACUCUGUGAUGAAGCCUUGAAAUUUUGUAUUUCAAGAUGGCAUCGGGGUAGCCUUUGGCAGUGGCCAAGGAGACCCUACAAUGACGGUGGCAGCCUCUGAGCAUGGCCAAAGUGUGCAGCCCGAGCAACUGGGCAUUCUUAGGAGAAUGCUGAGCAAGGGAACACAGCCCCGUGACCACAGGACCUUCCCAGCAGGCGAGGCAGCCUUCUCAACCCCAGAUGCUGGAGAGAUAAGUCAAGGGCUAAGGCCCACAGAGGGGAAUCAGCUUUGUGGGCGGGGAUGUGCAAGAAGUGCCCCUCUAGGCCACUUAAAGGGAAAGUGUCUGUUUAGAUCACAGUGCUGAGGUGCACAGGGCAGAGCAGUUCCGGUGUGUGUCCCGUCACUUGUCUCUGGUGCGUUCUGUGUUCUUUGGGUCUCUCGGUCCUUGCAGACGUUGUUCUCAUCUAAAGCUCUCUCUCCCUCUCCUGUCCCCUGGUUUGUCACGUCCUGUGUGUUGUCACGGGUGUGUGCCCACAUUUGUCCCACAACUGCUCUGCCCUGGUGCAUAGCUUGUAACAGCACAAGUUCUGGGGACUUGAAAUUUGUAUUGGGAGAUUGCCAUAACAUUUUUGGUGCUGUUAAGUUGUCCUGCAGCCGUUUGACACUAGUUCUAACUUCCUUUCAGAUGCAGACAGUUCAAAUCGGUGGCAGAGGGCACCAGCCCUGGGUGAUGAUCUUCCCAUGAGCAGGUCAGUCAUUGUUUGCAUUUGCAGGGGAAGCGUAAAUGGGUGACUGUGUUACAGCGGUGUUCUUUGCCUUUAUUUUUAGGAGGUCCAGACAGAUAGCAGCAGUCAAGGCCCAGGGUGCCAGGUGAGCAGUGGACAGAAGCAGUUGUUCUUGCUCAGGUCUCAAUUUUUGGUGCAACUGUAAGCAUCCAUUCUUGUUUUUCUGCUUUAGGGAAUCCACUUGGAGUAUGCCUAGCAGCUGUCACCAACCGGCUGAUGGCCCGGGUUUCCUGUGCUUGUGAACCCUCUGGAAGCAUUACAGGACUCUGUGAUGAAGCCUUGAAAUUUUGUAUUUCAAGAUGGCAUCGGGGUAGCCUUUGGCAGUGGCCAAGGAGGUGCGGCAAGUCACUGAGGUAGGGAGCGGGAGCCAAGGUCCGCUUAGGUUUCAGCAAUGCCGAGUCACUUUGUCUCUCCUUAACCCAGGCAGACCCUACAAUGACGGUGGCAGCCUCUGAGCAUGGCCAAAGUGUGCAGCCCGAGCAACUGGGCAUUCUUAGGAGAAUGGUGAGUAGCAGAAUUGCUGGGUUUUUUCCAUGGUGCAGCUAAGAUCAUGCAGUGAUGUUUGGUGUUCUUGAUUGUAGCUGAGCAAGGGAACACAGCCCCGUGACCACAGGACCUUCCCAGCAGGCGAGGCAGCCUUCUCAACCCCAGAUGCUGGAGAGAUAAGUCAAGGGCUAAGGCCCACAGAGGGGAAUCAGCUUUGUGGGCGGGGAUGUGCAAGAAGUGCCCCUCUAGGCCACUUAAAGGGAAAGUGUCUGUUUAGAUCACAGUGCUGAGGUGCACAGGGCAGAGCAGUUCCGGUGUGUGUCCCGUCACUUGUCUCUGGUGCGUUCUGUGUUCUUUGGGUCUCUCGGUCCUUGCAGACGUUGUUCUCAUCUAAAGCUCUCUCUCCCUCUCCUGUCCCCUGGUUUGUCACGUCCUGUGUGUUGUCACGGGUGUGUGCCCACAUUUGUCCCACAACUGCUCUGCCCUGGUGCAUAGCUUGUAACAGCACAAGUUCUGGGGACUUGAAAUUUGUAUUGGGAGAUUGCCAUAACAUUUUUGGUGCUGUUAAGUUGUCCUGCAGCCGUUUGACACUAGUUCUAACUUCCUUUCAGAUGCAGACAGUUCAAAUCGGUGGCAGAGGGCACCAGCCCUGGGUGAUGAUCUUCCCAUGAGCAGGUCAGUCAUUGUUUGCAUUUGCAGGGGAAGCGUAAAUGGGUGACGGUGUUACAGCGGUGUUCUUUGCCUUUAUUUUUAGGAGGUCCAGACAGAUAGCAGCAGUCAAGGCCCAGGGUGCCAGGUGAGCAGUGGACAGAAGCAGUUGUUCUUGCUCAGGUCUCAAUUUUUGGUGCAACUGUAAGCAUCCAUUCUUGUUUUUCUGCUUUAGGGAAUCCACUUGGAGUAUGCCUAGCAGCUGUCACCAACCGGCUGAUGGCCCGGGUUUCCUGUGCUUGUGAACCCUCUGGAAGCAUUACAGGACUCUGUGAUGAAGCCUUGAAAUUUUGUAUUUCAAGAUGGCAUCGGGGUAGCCUUUGGCAGUGGCCAAGGAGGUGCGGCAAGUCACUGAGGUAG
rnacentral:lncRNA from 1 species